ACACACACACACACACACACACACACUGAUACCCUGUAUCUCUCUCACACACACACACACACACACACUGAUACCCUGUAUCUCUCUCUCACACACACACACUGAUACCCUGUAUCUCUCUCACACACACACACACUGAUACCCUGUAUCUCUCACACACACACACACUGAUACCCUGUAUCUCUCACACACACACACACACUGAUACCCUGUAUCUCUCACACACACACAUACACUGAUACCCUGUAUCUCUCACAC